CGCGGUUGUCUCUAUUUCGUUGGUUUCGGAGGGCGCGUAAUGAUUAAUAGGGACAGUUGGGGGCACUCAUACUUCAUUGUCAGAGGUGAAAUUCUUAGAUUUAUGAAAGAUGAACUUGUGCGAAAGCAUUUGCCAAAGAUGUUUUCAUUAGUCAAGAACGAAAGUUAAGGGAUCGAAGACGAUCAGAUACCGUCGUAGUCUUAACCAUAAACUAUGCCGACUAGGGAUUGGCCCGGGUCGUGUUCCGACAGGGUCAGCACCUUAUGAGAAAUCAGAAGUUUUUGGGUUCCGGGGGGAGUAUGGUCGCAAGGCUGAAACUUAAAGAAAUUGACGGAAGGGCACCACCAGGAGUGGAGCCUGCGGCUUAAUUUGACUCAACACGGGGAAACU
rnacentral:rRNA from 1 species